UGAGAAUCCCACAGGCCGUAAACCCAAGGUUUCCAGGGGAAGGUUCGUCCGCCCUGGGUUAGUCGGGACCUAAGCUGAGGCCGAAAGGCGUAGGUGAUGGACAACAGGUUGAUAUUCCUGUACUACCGAUAACCGUUUGAGAGAUGGGAUGACACAGUAGGAUAAGCUAAGCACACUGUUGGUUAUGUGUGCCCAAGCAUUGAGGCAGUCAGAGUAGGUAAAUCCGCUUUGAUAAUGCUGGGAUG
rnacentral:rRNA from 1 species